CAUAUUUACCUAUCUGGAGACAAAAUUUCAUCGAUAUCAAAGAUGGUGUUUUUUUUUUGUAAAUAGACUUUGAAUUUUUAAAAACGAUUUUUAAGGGCUCAAUUUGGAAUUUUUUCAAUAUUUUUUCUUGAAACUUAACGUAUUUAGUGACAAUCACUCAUACAACACUUUCUUGUAGCAGUAGUCAUUUUUUUAUUAAACACAUUUGAAAAAAAUCGGUAAAAAAAGUUUAGCCCUUUUCAAACGAUAGUCUAGAUAAUUUUUGAAGAAACUAAGUAUGCAAAGUGGCUUAUCCAGUCAAGGUCUACACACCCAGAAAGUUUCAUUAUAAUCUGAGUUGGCGCGAAAUCCGUCUAUACUAGAUCCCAUAUGAUGCACAAUUUGAACUGAAUGCAUCCUCGGGUGAUUUGUGUAUCCUAUGCUGAUUUCAGGCUUGGGAGUACACAAGAACCCAUAUAAUGCAUACUGGUAAUUAAUUGCACCCCAAGCUUAUUUAGGGCUCGGGAAAAUCAUCUUAAUUACAAUAUCGUUCAACGGCCUUUAAAUAUUAUUACCGUUUACUAUUUCAGAGCUAAAUUUCAGAAUCUGCCACGACAUUCUGGAACUAGUAGAAUCCCACAAACACGUAGCCCUGUUCAAAGGUCUGCACAAGGUAGAACGCAUCACCAAAGGCGCGGUAAUGAUCGGUAGGAUCGAAGGACAGUUUCUACAGGACCUACGUAUUACGACGGAUUCGACGGUUCCGCCGAAAACUAACAAUCCACUGGAAGUUGGAAUAGUACCACAGGGAAACCGAAGCAUCAAACACGAGAAGAACGGGAAAUGUUUAUUUGAAGCACAUCUCGGUCAGCAUUUAAUUAUUUUUUUGGAAGCAAAAACACAGCGCCAUCAUCAAGCUUGCGCGAAAAGAUAGAACUUAAAUAGUGGUACAAGUAUGCCUUGCUUUUGGUUGUUGCGGUUGUUAUUAACUUGCAAGUCGCUUGGUACGAAUAGAGCCGCUCAGAGCUCUAAUGAGGUCUUUUACGUACAGGUAUUCUUGGUUUCGCUGAGCCUGGAAGAAGGCCAAGGAGCAUUCAGCCCCGCCGUGAUGUUCUUGUUUACGACGUCCGUAUCGUUACGUUCGUCAAAUCGUAAUUCGAUCGGAAUCCCGAUUCGUGACGAGGAAUGAGACUGUGGCCCUUAUUAUGAGUGUCACUUCACGGUGAAAACCGAUCACGGUGACACAUUGCGAAUCCACGGUG